rnacentral:lncRNA from 1 species
CUGCAAAGACUAAGAACAGGAUUGAAACCGGCGGCACCGCUUACUUCCUGAAGUUCCCUUUUCUUCUGGUGGUUUCUGUGUCACAGGGGCCUCCCGCAAGUCCCGAUGCUGACGCCUCUCUGCCCACCUAGUUUGUGGCCGCCGCCUCCAGCUCUGUGUCUGCCUCCCAGCGAGGGAGCCGUGGUUGAUGAUCUCGUGAGUGUCUGCCCUUCUGAAGAGUCUCUCCUCUUCGAAUGUCCAACUGCUAGCACCAUGCGGCGAAAUGUCCUCUUCUAUCCAGUCCCAACAGAAAAUCCAGCUGGUUCUUAAUGAACGAAAGGCCACCCAACAAGAAAAUGGACUUAUAUUGUUGGAGGGAAACGAGAAUGUCUCCUCUUUCCUUAAACAGUGUGGACUGACAAAGAUUCUCUGCUUGGCUAAACUGCAGUCGGGCUCUGGAAACUUCUCCUAGGCCGGCCUGCACUUCCUUGUAAGAAAAAGGCUUUAAAAAGUACCCGGUGGGGCCCGGAGCGGUGGCUCAUGCCUGUAAUCCCAGCACUCUGGGAGGCUGA